AAUUCUAAGAGGAACCAAGCAGGCAGGAUAGAAAGUUUAAGGUCUUAAUAACAGGCCCUGCCAGACCUCCCAGGGGGAGGAAUUGAGAGGAGAAUACAAUGUUUCUGAACGGUGAGCAGAAACGGUGUGUCGAUUCACAGUGCACUUUCUCUGUGUUCUUCUUCCAAAUGUACGUCUCCGAAACCCACAGGGCUUCAACCUCCUCUGAAAGCCAGUCCGUGGAACUGACUAACCUGGAUGCUCCCCAACAGGCUUUAACAAAGCAUCAGAAGAGUUAUUGCUGAGGUCAAGGAAGUGUUCUCCUACACCCUGUUCUGGUUUGAUGGUUUUAAGUUUUUAUAUCAGGAAUGGAUUUCUGUGUACAGCAUAAGGUUCUCCUGUGUGGAUGUUGCUGGUCCCAGCUGGUGGCCCCAGAGGGUCGAGAUGGAGAGGCUGUGUGUAAGGAAGAAGACAACGUUUGAAAUUUGAGAAUCGUUUGAAAGUUAAACCCAGAACAAAAGUAAUUUUCAGUAAGAUGCUCGUGACAUAAACCGCAUCACUAUAAAUUCAUUGUGGAGUUUGUCUCCUGGGUAGGAGUCCACAGAGCUAAAAUUAGAACUGGUCUCCCGCCUUUCCCCAGAGAUUGGAACAAUGUGUCAAAGCAGUGGAACUCACGGCUUGACAGUCAGGUGGCCACGAGGCUAAUUGCUGGCAUACAGGGUGGUAAGGCCAAUCAAGCUUUGGAAAGGAAAAGAUCUGUGGCUGUCCUCACCAGGGCUGUGCCCCACCUCCCACCCGCCUCCACCCCUGCCUGUCCUCUCUCAUCUCAGUUAGAGUUUUUUGUACUUCCCCGGUUUACAUUAGGUGAAAUGAUGACCUGUGUUCAAUUUUUAGAAGAAGAUUACAUAGGAAGGUCCUGGGGGGAGGGGUGUCUCUUCUUUUGUAAUUACUCUUUGUGCAUUUUGUCAAACCAGUGCUGGACUGGGAAUGAUUGACAGCCUUGCCCCCCCGCCCUUCCCCCAGAUGUCUGAGUGGGAAAAUGUGUGUUUGUGUGUUUCUAAGUCUGGAUGGAAUUCAGCAGUAGAGAGUCCCAGGGGAACACCUUCAUUAGUGGCUCAGACUCACUCCCUGACAUUAACCUGGAUGGCAUAUUAAAAAUCCACUUUAACCAAUGUGUCGUGAAAUGGAGUUGGACAAGAGCACCCCCACCCCCACAACUCUGAUUAUUCUCUACUCCUGAAUUUCACGGAAGGCAGUGAUAGAUGAGGAAUGCCAGGCUCUCUGUGAUGAUUGCUUACAAAGAGAAGAGCGCUGCAUCCUGGUAACAUUGCGAUGUCUGGGACAAUACAGAGCAAGGCGCAGUUUGUUCUUCUCCAUGGAGUAUCAGAGCCGCUGGCUGAUUUUGUAACCACACUAAGAAAAGACCAGCUUCCUGGUUAGCAGCGACAUUGUUGCCUUGAGUGGGGCAGAGUAAAGAAAGGGACGGAGAGGUUUUGUCUCAGCCUUGACGAAUAGGUUCAUUCAGAAGUCCGUGUACCCCGUGAGGGCUAGUUCCAUGAUAGUUCUAGCUUUAUAGACUACAUAAAAGAUGGAUUCCAGGCAAGUAAAUGGUCUGACAAUUGGGCCUUAUGGGAGUGGGACACUUUAGAUCUUGAUAGCGCCACUCAGAAGGGGGCAGAAAGAGGAAGGCAUAGUGGCACACACCUUUAAUACUAGCAUUUUGGAGGCUGAGGCUGUUGCCUCUCUAAGUUCAAAGCCAGCCAGAGGCUACACAGAUGCUGUCUCAAAUAAAGGGCUGUGGAAAGGAAAAGGCAGAACUCACACCAGAUGUAAGGAGCAAGACUGGUGGUGGUCACAUCAGAUAGAAUAUGGCAGCCAUAGUACCCCCUUCAGAAUAGCUCUGCUGGGUAAAAGUUGGGAGAGAUUUGGGGAUGAGGGUGGCCUCUAGGUAUCAUUUGUAUUGCUGAGCAAGCCCAGGACUUGGGGUCUGGUGUGAGUUGCUUGGACCUCAAGCCGACUUUCUGGAAGCUGUGGUUGAAAGGUCAAAAGGCAAGCUUCCUCUCUUUUCUUCAGCCCACCCUGUUCCUAAUUGGCCUGUUUGCACGAGCCCCAGUUCAUCUGGGAAGUAGUCUGCUAACCAUGGGUGUGGUGGUUUGAAUAUGCUUAGCUCAGGAAGUGGCACUCUCAGGAGGUGUGGCUUUGUUGGAGGAAGUGUGUCACUGUAGCUGUGGGCUUUAAGACCCUCAUCCUAGCUGCCUGGAAGUCAGUCUUCUGUUUGCCUUUGGAACAAGAUGUAGAACUCUCAGCUCAUCCUGCCUGCCUGGAUGCUGCCAUGUUCUGGAGCCUUGAUGAUAAUGGACUGAACCUCUGAACCUGAUAUACAGGAAGGAAGUGUGGAGCAGAGACUGAAAGAAAGACCAUCCAGAGACUGACCCACCUGGAAAUCUAUUCCACAUGCAGACGCCAAACCCAGACACUAUUGCAGAUGUCAAGAAGUGCUUGCUGACAGGAGCCUGAUCAGCUGUCUCCUGAGAGGCUCUGCCAGAUCCUGACCAAUACAGAUAUGGAUGCUCCGAUGCUCUCAACCAACCAUGGGACUGAGCACAGGCCCCCAAUGGAGGAGUUAGGGGAAGGACUAAAGGGCCUGAUGGGGCCUUACCUGGCAUCAAUGAGAGGGGAGGCCCUUGGCCCUGUAAAGGCUUGAUGCCCCAGUGUAAAGGAAUGCUAGGGUGGUGAGGCAGGAGUGGGUAGGUGGGUGGAUGGAGAAGCACCCUCAUAGAAGCAGGGGAGAGGGGAUAGGAUAGGGGGUUUGCAGAGGGGAAACCGGGAAUGGGGAUAACAUUUGAAAUGUAAUUAAAUAAAAUAUCCAAUUUAAAAAAAACUUAGAUGAUCUAACUAAAGCCUAAGCUUUGAAAUAUUAAAAAAUAUUAUAGAUUUGAAUAAUUUGAAAUAACAACUAGUUUACAGUAUAAUAUUUGAUGAGAAGUUCUGUAGCAGGAACUGCAGGGCCACCUCUAUGUAAAUGUGGGGGAGGGGGCUUCACAGCUGCAAAAGCAUCUCCUGAAGGAGGACCUAAUUGAGGACUGCCUGAGAGUCCAAGGAUUGCCGGCACAGACAAGGCCAGCCAAUCAGGAACUGCUGCUUAGAAGAGAUGCUUUUUUGGGACCAAUGGGGGAUGGGUGGAAGGUAUUAAAGAAGCUUGCAGCAGUGUACAGAUGAGCUUGCUGCAGCGUUUCUCACCUGCUCCCAGAGUCUGUGUUAUUGACUCCGCACCACCUCACCUCCGACCCCCAAGAGCAGUAGGAUUGAGUGGAGAGUAGUCAGGGCACAGGCAGCAAAGUUUCUUGUAAUUCCCCUCUCACCCCCUCCUCCUCCUACCACCCCUCCCCCCUGCCUCCCACCCCAGAGCUAGAGAUCAAACUGAGGGCCUUCUAUGUACUAGGCAAGCAAUCUACCACUGAGCUACAUCCCUAGCUUCAAUUUGUUAUUGACUUGGGCAUGAACGUGUAUGUGGACACUGUGCCCCAUGAUGUCCAUGCAGGAGCAUGGAAUUGCAGCGGGAGGUGGGGAGCCCUGUGAAAGACAUCCUGCCCCCCAUUGGCUUCGGCAUUUGCAAGGUUGAUUUAGAAAAGUCAUUUCCUUUAGUUGUUCAGAUCUCAGGUACUUGUCUCUGGAACGCCCACCCUUCAUUCAUGAAAGCCUGCCUCUUUCCCUCAGAAGCCUACCUUUGUUUCUGCCUUCCGCCCACCUGGAAGGGCUGUUCCUGACAGAAGAGGAAAAGAACAUUGUUCUAAGUCUGUAGCAAAGUAAAAUUGCCCCCAGGAAAGCAGCCUUUCAGCCGCCAUUGAUCAAUGAGCAUGUAUUUUUGCAGUCUGCAACAACUCAGAGAAGAAAGUGCUUGUCGGAUGAGUGCAAGGACCAGAGUUUCACCCACAGAGCUCCCGUAAAAUCCUGAGACUACAGAGCAGUCGGUAUGCCCACAUGUGGGAGAAGGUAGAGGCACCAGAACCUAUGACGAGACGAGGCUCACCCCAUUCGUUUAUGUUGUUGGGCACCUUCCAAGCACGAAGCUGAGGGGUGUGAGUCACGAGACCCGAGGCAGCCUUGAUCUUGGAGUUGUUACCCAGCCAAAGCAGUUGAGAAUUCAUAGUACUUCAAGCUGGAAGUCAGUUUCUUUCUUCCUUCUGGGACCCUUCUUGCAAAAUUCUCACCAAAAAUACAGGGGCAAGUGGGCACCUAAGUCUCUCUAUUUCUUC